CAAUUAGCACUGAUGUACCAGCCUGUGAAAUCUCUUCCUAUGUACCAUCUCUUCAGAUGUCCUGAGAGACACACAUGGCCCCUGUUGUUAUCUGCCUGAGGUUUUCAGGGUCUUGCUGCCCUGAGGAGCAGGGCCAGCAGCUGGGUGGCUGUUUGGAGCCCCUGUGUGAGGAACAGCUGGAUUUGGCAGCACUGGCAUCAGCACUCUGCAACACGGUGGUUUGAUGAGAAGAACAUCUGCUGAAGACAGAAGCCUGCAGACUCACUGAAUGGUAACUCAAACUUCAAGCUAGUGUUUGCAACAGUGUAUUCUACCUUGUCUGCUUUCUUCUCCAGAGAGGUGAAGGAUGCUUAAGGACACCCUGGAAGCAUUCUGUAUGGAUUAACCCAUGGGAAAGUGAUUUGGCAAGAGGAAGCUAGGCCUGGCUGCAGCUCAGAACUCACCCAUGUUACUUCAUUAUGAGAAUGUUAGCUACCCAGAUGUCUAUAAGCACCCUGGGCUGAAGUCAAAUACCCACAGUCUGAGGGCUUGGACAAAGAGCUGUGCACCACCUGUCUGAACUCUGAUGAACAGUAGGGGCAUGUCCACCUCUUCCCCUCUGGAAGUGCUCACAGAACACUGGAGGUGGAAUCUAGGAACAAGAGAGAGACAAGAUGCAUGUUAGCAAGGAUUGCAACCCAAAAAUACCAGACAAUCUAUCCAAUCUCAUCUGGGAGAAGGGAGACAGGCAGGGGAGACAGAUGUUUGACAACAGGAUUUAUCUGAAGCGUGCCAAUAUCUUGAACAAGUCUGCGUUACAAAUCAGGAGCAAGCAUCUGACCUCUCAAAGAAAGAAGCAGAAAUUAAGCAUACAUGUGAGUAUUAAAAUGUGCG
rnacentral:lncRNA from 1 species